rnacentral:tRNA from 1 species
GCGAGAGUAGCUCAGCUGGUAGAGCGCAACCUUGCCAAGGUUGAGGUCGCGGGUUCGAACCCCGUCUCCCGCUCCA